AAGGGGCAGUAAUGCGUGGGUAACCUACCCCGGGGACCGGGAUAGCCACCCUAACGGGUGGGUAAUACCAGGCGAUGUAGCGAAGACGCAUGGAUUUGCUACGAAAUGAAUUUCGCCUCGGGAGGGGCUCACGUGGUAUUAGCUAGUUGGUGAGGUAACGGCUCACCAAGGCCAAGAUGCCUAGCAGGUGUGAGAGCACGACCUGCGCCACUGGCACUGAGACGCUGGCCAGACUCCUACGGGAGGCUGCAGUCGAGGAUCUUCGGCAAUGGGCGCAAGCCUGACCGAGCGACGCCGCGUGCGCGAUGAAGGCCUUCGGGUUGUAAAGCGCUGUCGAGGAGGAGGAAAGCCCGAAAGGGUCUGACCUAUUCCUGGAGGAAGCACGGGCUAAGUUCGUGCCAGCAGCCGCGGUAAGACGAACCGUGCAAACGUUGUUCGGAAUCACUGGGCUUAAAGGGCGCGUAGGCGGCUUGCAAAGUCAGGGGUGAAAUCUUUCGGCUCAACCGGAAAAGUGCCUUUGAUACUGGCAAGCUCGAGUGAGGUAGGGGCAUGUGGAACUUCCGGUGGAGCGGUGAAAUG
rnacentral:rRNA from 1 species